rnacentral:lncRNA from 1 species
CCCGCUGCCACUAAACAUAAUUAAUCGUGUACCAUGGCAGCAAACACAACUCCUCACGUCGAAACAAUUACCGUCGGCUAAUCGUUUCGAUCCGGAUUCCCGAAAGUGUCAAUUUCGACACCGGAACCCACCGUCGCUCACCCGUCAUUUUUGAACUCUCGAAAUGACAUGAGUGACCAGCCAACAAGGCUCAGCGACUACACAAUAGUUCAUGAAGCACCGUCGGAAUAAUUCCGAACCGAAGUUGCGUUCCGUCGACGGAUUUCGCGAGAAACGCUUCGAAAAUCAAUAUUUGAUUUCCGCA